rnacentral:rRNA from 1 species
CUACAGGCUUAACACAUGCAAGUCGAGGGGCAGCAUGGUCUUAGCUUGCUAAGGCCGAUGGCGACCGGCGCACGGGUGAGUAACACGUAUCCAACCUGCCGUCUACUCUUGGACAGCCUUCUGAAAGGAAGAUUAAUACAAGAUGGCAUCAUGAGUCCGCAUGUUCACAUGAUUAAAGGUAUUCCGGUAGACGAUGGGGAUGCGUUCCAUUAGAUAGUAGGCGGGGUAACGGCCCACCUAGUCUUCGAUGGAUAGGGGUUCUGAGAGGAAGGUCCCCCACAUUGGAACUGAGACACGGUCCAAACUCCUACGGGAGGCAGCAGUGAGGAAUAUUGGUCAAUGGGCGAGAGCCUGAACCAGCCAAGUAGCGUGAAGGAUGACUGCCCUAUGGGUUGUAAACUUCUUUUAUAAAGGAAUAAAGUCGGGUAUGGAUACCCGUUUGCAUGUACUUUAUGAAUAAGGAUCGGCUAACUCCGUGCCAGCAGCCGCGGUAAUACGGAGGAUCCGAGCGUUAUCCGGAUUUAUUGGGUUUAAAGGGAGCGUAGAUGGAUGUUUAAGUCAGUUGUGAAAGUUUGCGGCUCAACCGUAAAAUUGCAGUUGAUACUGGAUAUCUUGAGUGCAGUUGAGGCAGGCGGAAUUCGUGGUGUAGCGGUGAAAUGCUUAGAUAUCACGAAGAACUCCGAUUGCGAAGGCAGCCUGCUAAGCUGCAACUGACAUUGAGGCUCGAAAGUGUGGGUAUCAAACAGGAUUAGAUACCCUGGUAGUCCACACGGUAAACGAUGAAUACUCGCUGUUUGCGAUAUACGGCAAGCGGCCAAGCGAAAGCGUUAAGUAUUCCACCUGGGGAGUACGCCGGCAACGGUGAAACUCAAAGGAAUUGACGGGGGCCCGCACAAGCGGAGGAACAUGUGGUUUAAUUCGAUGAUACGCGAGGAACCUUACCCGGGCUUAAAUUGCAGAUGAAUUACGGUGAAAGCCGUAAGCCGCAAGGCAUCUGUGAAGGUGCUGCAUGGUUGUCGUCAGCUCGUGCCGUGAGGUGUCGGCUUAAGUGCCAUAACGAGCGCAACCCUUGUUGUCAGUUACUAACAGGUUCCGCUGAGGACUCUGACAAGACUGCCAUCGUAAGAUGUGAGGAAGGUGGGGAUGACGUCAAAUCAGCACGGCCCUUACGUCCGGGGCUACACACGUGUUACAAUGGGGGGUACAGAGGGCCGCUACCACGCGAGUGGAUGCCAAUCCCCAAAACCUCUCUCAGUUCGGACUGGAGUCUGCAACCCGACUCCACGAAGCUGGAUUCGCUAGUAAUCGCGCAUCAGCCACGGCGCGGUGAAUACGUUCCCGGGCCUUGUACACACCGCCCGUCAAGCCAUGGGAGCCGGGGGUACCUGAAGUGCGUAACCGCGAGGAGCGCCCUAGGGUAAAACUGGUGACUGGGGCUAAAUCAUA